GAUGAACGCUGGCGGCGUGCCUAAUACAUGCAAGUCGAGCGAACGGACGAGGAGCUUGCUCCUUUGACGUUAGCGGCGGACGGGAGAGUAACACGUGGAUAACCUACCUAUAAGACUGGGAUAACUUCGGGAAACCGGAGCUAAUACCGGAUAAUAUAUUGAACCGCAUGGUUCAAUAGUGAAAGACGGCUUUGCUGUCACUUAUAGAUGGAUCCGCGCCGCAUUAGCUAGUUGGUAAGGUAACGGCUUACCAAGGCAACGAUGCGUAGCCGACCUGAGAGGGUGAUCGGCCACACUCGAACUGAGACACGGUCCAGACUCCUACGGGAGGCAGCAGUAGGGAAUCUUCCGCAAUGGGCGAAAGCCUGACGGAGCAACGCCGCGUGAGUGAUGAAGGUCUUCGGAUCGUAAAACUCUGUUAUUAGGGAAGAACAAAUGUGUAAGUAACUAUGCACGUCUUGACGGUACCUAAUCAGAAAGCCACGGCUAACUACGUG
rnacentral:rRNA from 1 species